GACAGAGUGGUGUAGUGGUCUGAGCAUUAGACUAUGACUCUGGAGACCAGGAUUCAAAUCACUGCUUAGCUA